GAGCCGCACUGGAGGACGUCUGCGCCUCUUUUUCUUCUCCUGGGUCAAGCCAACGCUCACGUCAGCGCCACACACGUGCAAGCGAACGGGUGCCUGCAGCUGUGUUUGUCUCUCUUUGGGUGCACGUGUGGCACAAGGCACCGCCGACAUCCCUUUAUCUGCCUCUCUGGCCAGCUCCUACCCCUCCCUCUCAUUCCCUUCAACUGCCAUAUUGGGGGAGGAGGAGAGUGUCGGCUGACUAACGUCGUCAGGCGCUGGCGCACCGACACAAAAAAAAACACCGACCUUCUCACGGUAGUUGCGUGCAUUCCCACCACCUAUAUCCCCAACCUUCUGCAUAUCAACAAUCCUUGCCGCCGCCGCCGUCGUCAUCGCUGCCCGCCUACCCUCGUCUCUGCACACAGGAACAGAUACAUGCAACGGUGCUACGGCAUGAGGUGCGCCUACGAGCGGUGAAUGAGGCCACAUCCCCGUCUCUCGUCUUUUCCUCUCCCGCUGCUGGCACGUGUGAGAUCAGCCCCCACCCCCUCCGCUACGAAGAGAAGGCGUUUGCCUUGCCAGGGGGUGGUGCCCAGAGAUCGGGUUUGUGGCCCCUCCGAUGUGGGCAGGGCCACGCGUGCGUCGGCGCCGUCCUCCCCUGUGCUCCUCACGGGGCUCUUUUAUGUUCCUCUGUCGCACACCUCAGCCGAGAAGUCCGAUGGGCGCUUGUCUGCUCUGCUCUCCUCCCCCUCCCCACCGCGCUGCUUCGCACGGCACAAGUGCUUUGCCCUCUUGUGGGCGGCCUCCGCCAUGCGUGUCGGGUCGGCUUCCGGCCGCGGCGUUCGGGUAUGCAAACACAGACAUGUGUAUGUGUGCGCGGUAGCUCUCUUCCACCCCCUCCCUCCUAUGCUGGGGAGGAUGCCACCUGCUUUCAUGGCCUUGUCUGCCCGUUCAAGGCAGUCCCACCCUGACCAGCCUCCAUCACGUCCGCCACCGGGUGCGAUACGGCGGAUGAGAGGAGGGGGUGGGCCCUGCGCCGUCACCGACUUCGUCAAACAGAUAAGCAGCGAUUCCGCAAAGGCGGCGCGCAGCGGUCCGCUUCCUCCCUCCGCCCCUACCGGGCGACGCCCACAACAGGCCAGAGAACGGGGGGGGAGGGGACGGGUCGAGACCCGGCACCGCCCCAACUCACUCUAAACUGCCUUCUUCUCUUCCUUCCCACCGACUCUCUCUCUCUCUCUGAUCUCACAUCAG
rnacentral:misc_RNA from 1 species